GGGGGAAUGGCCUUAGCCCUCACCCUCCGAUUCAACAGGUCCCAGACGUGCUCAAUGGGAUUGAGAUCCGGGCUCUUGGCAGAACAUUGACAUUCCUGUUUUGCAGGAAAUCACACACAGAAAGAGCAGUAUGGCUGGUGGCAUUGUCAUGCUGGAGGGUCAUGUCAGGACGAGCCUGCAGGAAGGGUACCACAUGAGGGAGGAGGAUGUCUUCCCUGUAACGCACAGCGUUGAGAUUGCCUGCAAUGACAACAAGCUCAGUCCGACGAUGCUGUGACACAUCGCCCCAGACCAUGACGGACCCUCCACCUCCCUCCAAAUCGAUCCCGCUCCAGAGUACUGUCCUCGGUGUAACGCUCAUUCCUUCGACAAUAAACGCAAAUCCGACCAUCACCCCUGGUGAGACAAAACCGCAACACGUCAGUGAAGAGCACUUUUUGCCAGUCCUGUCUGGUCCUGAGACCGUGGGUUUGUGCCCAUAGGCAACGUUGUUGCUGGUGAUGUCUGGUGAGGACCUGCCUUACUACAGGCCUACAAGCCCUCAGUCCAGCCUCUCUCAGUUUAUUGAGGACAGGCUGAGCACUGAUGGAGGGAUUAUGCGUUCCUGGUGUGACUCGGGCAGUUGUUGUUGCCAUUCUGUACCUGUCCUGCAGGUGUGAUGUUCAGAUGUACCGAUCCUGUGCAGGUGUUGUUACACGUGGUCUGCCACUAAUGCGGACUAAUGAGGACGAUCAGCUGUCCAUCCUGUCUCCCUGUAACGCUGUCUUAGGCGUCUCACCGUGAGACAUGCCCCCCUGCAACCCCGGUUUCUGUAACAACAACACAGCUACCUGCUCUCCCUGCCCCCCUGGGACAUUCUCUGAUGGGGUCAAAGCUAACAAAAUAGCCCUUUCUGCUUUCCCAAUGGGCGUUGGUUUUUAUUUAGGUUUGAUUUCCAAAAUGUUGAUCUCUUUCUCUCCCUCUCCUCUCCCCAUUCUCUCUCUCUCCCAGUGUGUGAGUCAUGUCUGGCAGGUACUGAGCCUGCUGUAGGUUAUCAGUUUAAGUGGUGGUAUGUUGUACCAGCCAACAUGAAGAUGUCCUGCAUCAACGUGAGAAGCUCCAAGUGUGACGGUAUUAACGGUUGGGAGGUAGUGGGGAAUCAUAUCUGCAGUGGCGCACGGGGCUCUGAUAAUGACUACCUCAUCCUCAACCUCCACGUACCUGGCUUCAAGUGAGUCUGUUAACCUCAAUCUGUCUGUCACUGUCUCUCGCUCUCUUCCCCUCUCCUUCUUGCUCUCUCUUAAUUUGUGUGUGUGUCGAUCCUCAGGCCUCAGUAACAAGUGGU
ensembl:lncRNA